GAUCCCCUCUUUUGGUAUCUUCUGGUGAGCUCAACCCAAGGGAUGGAGAACAGCUAACUUCGGAAAGAACUGACACCAUUUGCAGAAGAGAAAAUAUAAGAUCCCCAAAAGAAGAUGCAUCAAGCUAAAAGCCACACUGAGCCAUAGAAACAAAGGAAUUCUCGAGUUACAACACAGGUACGAGAUUACUCUCAUGAGCUAUAGCUCCCAAAUGAACAUCUUGAAGGCUUUUUCUAACCUAACUGAUUCUACAAACUUUGUAAGCAUUAUUUUCAUAGGAAGACGUUCAGGAAAAAAAAUGAGCCUAGCUUUGGAAAUUCUAUCUUUCUGCAAGGAAUGGAUUUGCUAAAUGCAUUUCUAUAGGUCAGGACUGUAUGAACAACAGGAAUAAAACAACAUCCGGUAAGUUUCAUUUUUAUCAUUUCUUGCACCAAAACAAACGUGCAAAAUACUUCAAACAUCUUAAGAAGAGAAUGCUUGUUUCAUUUGUGGGCUAUUGGAAAGAAAGUAGACAACUCAAAACAUAUGUUUUUAGUAUUGCCAGUGUUAUUAAACACAAUGAAGUUAUAAAAAUAAUGUGAUACUAAUGAUUAAUAAGACUACCUGCCUACUAGAACACAAAUCCAUCCAUUCUCUCUAACCCAAAGAAUAUUUAAGUAUCAUAUUCUGUGCAAGGAGCACAGAAACAUAUUUGUAAGCAUGAUGGCUUGACUGCUUUCAACAUGAACUUUGCUCAGGCAGAAGACAGUAGUAUAACAGGAGCUAUGGAAACUUUGCAAAAGCUUCAGGUAAAAACUAUCUGCAAGAAAGACAUACCACUCCAAAUGAAAACUUUGCUGCUUCAAUAAAGUCAUUAAACUUGAAUGAUAUGCUGCAGAAGAUAUUCUCUUCAAAAUUCUGUACAUUCUCUGUUAAACAUGAAAUCAAUCCAUAGGAUCAUGACAAUGAUCCAGGUGAUCAUUUCCUAUAACUGAAUCUAUGAACACUGCCAACAUAUUUAGCAUAACUUCAAAACAGAACUAUGUUUUCUUCGUUCUUUUUUCUUAAGAGUCAUUGUGUGUGAACUCCUAUGACUGUUAUUAAAAAUGCUGAACUUAAAAAUGCUAAACUUUUCUACAUGCAUUUUUCCACAAAUUAGUUUUCCAUCAACAUUCUACUUGUACCUGUGCUUCCUUAUUCUCCCUAUAUAGUAUCACAAUGUAAUUAAAGACAAGUAAAUUUUUGUUUUAGUUUUCAAUGUAUUAAAAAAAAAAAAAAAGAUUCCCAAUUGGGUUCUUUUUUUUUCAAGUUUUCUGAUUUAAGCAGGGACUGAAACAGGUUUUUCAGUUUCACUGCAAAUUCAUUAUUACAACAGUAUUGGCAAGAAAGAAAAAACCUUUUACUCAAUAUAUCAUCUACAACCAAAUGUUUCCUCAGAAAAAUGCAAUCUUAUUCAUAAUAAACCAGAAUCAAGAUAUUCUGUUUUCAAAAAAUAUUCUUCAUUCUAAAGUAACACUACAAUUUUAUCUAGCAGUAAUUAGUGAGAGAUCCAUCAAAAACUCUGUGCUGAUAAAUCUAACACUUAAAAUACUCAAGAAUAUGCAAUUCCUAUGAUAUAGUAGGAAGAACAAAGGUAACUGAGAUACAGUUGUGCAGAAAUAGAAUGCAAAAAAAACUUGUGCAACUCAUCAACUACUGUUCUGAUGAUCAGCACGAGCAGACUGCAAGAGUUUCUGAUUACACUUCAUAGAUUCAAAACUUGUGAAAACCAUAAUAAGUCCUACAAUUAUUGCCAGAAGAAAAUAUUCUCACUCAUUUAUGAUGUACAGUGUUAACUAUAAAAGAUUGACUUGCAUUUUAGUAUGUGUAUUAGUAAGGGUACAUAAAUACUGCCUCUCUCAACCUGAAUAAAUUUUGUCCAUGGGGUAUUUGGACACUACUCCUGAAUGAAGGUGAUAUUCAUACUUUCCUAAAAGAGUAACAUUUUAAUUUCAUUCAAGGAGAAUAAAAAAAACUAAAAGCUUUCAUUUGACUCAGCACUUUUAUUCAACUUUUUCUUCCUAUAUAAAUUCUUCUGUGUACCUGUAAAAGGAUGAGAAUGGACUUCAGAGCAACGGCCAACAAGCACUAUUUCUGUUCUCCAGUAAGCUUUGUGAAUUAUGUAUUUCAUUUGUCUGUAUACAUACAUGCAUUAGGAAUCUACUUAGGAUCAUUAAAAAUUGUAUUUAGCUCUUUUACUUGCAGCAAUCCAGGUACUUGACACUGCAGUUAGAUUUUUGUUACUCUCCUCUGCGUUAUGCAAAUGGAUGGCCAGCUGAAGACUUCUGACAAUUCUGAGAUUGAUACUCUUCUACUGAAUUCAAGGAAUCUAGUCCAUUAAGAACUGCCAAAACAUUAAAAGUGAUUUACAUGAA